GUACACUUGAGCAGUACAUACACUAAAAUUGGAACAAUGCAGAGAAGAUGAGCACGGCCCCUGCACAGGAUACCAUACAAAUUCAUGAAGCAUUCCAUCUUUUU
rfam:Gorilla gorilla gorilla genomic chromosome, chr2B, whole genome shotgun sequence